rnacentral:tRNA from 1 species
GCAUUGGUGGUCCAGUGGUAGAAUUCUAGCCUUUCAUGCUGGUGACCUGCGUUCAGUUCCUAGUCAGCGCA